UUUCCGUAGGUGAACCUGCGGAAGGAUCAUUCAUAAUAAGUGUUUUAUGGCACUUUUUUAAAUCCAUAUCCACCUUUUGUGCAAUAUCAGGGAUGAUACUUCGAUCGUGAGUAUCAGACCCAACCAUCAACUAUCUCUCAACUCUGUGUCUGAAAUAUAUUAUGAAUAAAACAAUUCAUUAUACAACUUUCAACAACGGAUCUCUUGGCUCUC
rnacentral:misc_RNA from 1 species